UUCUACACCGAUAUUCUUUUUUCGAAAUUUGAGGGGCUUCCGAAAAUACGCCGCAAGGAACGCGGACGAUCACAUCUCGACACGUGGCAGUGUGGCACCUGGUCAAGACUUCGAGUCGAAGCACCCUCACAAGCGAAACCGCCGGAGCGCACAAAAACCAAACAGCUCCUCCUCGGCUGGCACCAAUGCUGGUGUGCAGUGUCGCAUGAUCGAACGAAUUAAACCCCGUCGCGCACGGCCCGCAUCCUCGCGAGUCAUUGGCGUCUCCUCAAUCGACGACGACCGCGCCCAGGGCCCCGGCCGCCUAGGGUUUGCCGGCGCGGCGGCCAUGGAGAACCUCAUCUCGCUCGUCAACAAGCUGCAGCGCGCGUGCACCGCCCUCGGCGACCACGGAGAGGAGAGCGCGCUCCCCACCCUAUGGGACUCGCUACCGACCAUCGCCGUCGUCGGCGGUCAGAGUUCGGGUAAAUCCUCGGUGUUGGAGAGUGUCGUUGGGAAGGAUUUCCUACCUCGGGGUUCAGGAAUUGUUACAAGGCGCCCGCUGGUUCUGCAACUCAACAGGAUUGAUGGGCCCGGAGAAUAUGCAGAGUUCAUGCACCUUAAGAAGAAAAGAUUUACAGAUUUUGCCCUAGUGAGGAAGGAGAUUGCAGAUGAAACUGACCGAGCGACUGGCCGCACAAAGCAAAUAUCAACUGUGCCCAUUUAUUUGAGCAUAUAUUCCCCAAAUGUUGUUAACCUUACUCUUAUUGAUCUCCCUGGGCUUACUAAGGUAGCUGUUGAGGGACAACCUGAUAGUAUUGUGCAUGACAUUGAAAACAUGGUUCGCUCGUUCAUAGAAAAGCCCAAUUGCAUCAUUCUUGCAAUUUCUCCAGCCAAUCAGGAUCUUGCAACUUCUGAUGCAAUAAAGAUUUCACGGGAAGUUGACCCAAAAGGUGAAAGGACCUUUGGCGUGCUUACAAAAAUUGACCUAAUGGACAAGGGCACAGAUGCAGUUGAUAUACUAGAAGGAAGGUCCUAUCGACUACAAUAUCCAUGGAUUGGUGUUGUCAAUCGUUCCCAGCAAGAUAUAAACAAGAACGUGGACAUGAUUGCUGCUAGGAUUAGAGAGCGUGAAUAUUUUGCAAGUAUACCAGAAUACAAACACCUUGCUCACAGAAUGGGAUCAGAGCACUUAGCAAAGAUGCUUUCAAAGCAUCUGGAAUCUGUGAUUAAAUCAAGAAUUCCAGGGAUCCAGUCUCUAAUAACCAAGGCCACCGCAGAGCUAGAAACUGAACUUUGUCGUCUUGGAAAACCCAUUGCUGCAGAUGCUGGGGGAAAGCUGUACACUAUUAUGGAAAUAUGUCGCAUGUUUGACAGUAUCUACAAGGAGCAUCUGGACGGAGCGCGUUCUGGUGGUGAGAAGAUCUACUAUGUUUUUGACAACCAAUUUCCAGUGGCUCUUAAACGGUUGCAAUUUGAAAAACACCUUGCAAUGGAAAAUGUAAAGAAGCUUAUAACACAAGCCGAUGGAUAUCAACCACACUUAAUAGCUCCGGAGCAAGGAUACCGGCGUCUUAUAGAGUCAUGUCUAGUUAGUAUCAAAGGUCCAGCUGAGGCAGCUGUUGACGCGGUCCAUGCAAUACUCAAGGAGCUAGUUCACAGGGCUAUCAAGGAGACACGUGAGUUGAAGCAGUUUCCAACUCUUCGUGUGGAAGUAGGUAGUGCAGCUUUUAAAGCAUUGGACAGAAUGCGGGAUGAGAGCAAGAAAAAUACAUUGAUGCUUGUUGAUAUGGAGUGCAGCUAUUUAACUGUAGACUUCUUUAGGAAGCUUCCUCAGGAUGUUGAGAAGGGAGGAAGUCCAACACAAUCCAUCUUUGAUAGAUACAAUGAUUUGUAUCUCAGACGAAUUGGUACUAAUGUACAGGCAUAUGUCAACAUGGUUUGCUCAACCCUGAGGAAUUCUAUCCCCAAAUCGAUCGUGUAUUGCCAAGUCCGCGAAGCAAAGCGCUCACUGCUUGAUCAUUUCUUUACAGAGUUGGGAGCAAGAGAGACCAAACAGCUUUCUAAGCUUCUUGAUGAGGACCCUGAGGUCAUGGAGCGCAGAGCAAAGCUUGCCCAGAGAUUGGAGCUAUAUCGGAGCGCCCAGGCAGAAAUCGAUGCAGUUGCAUGGGCCAAAUAGUCUCCUUGGCCAGAUUCCGUGUUUCUCAGCUAUUUUUAUUCUUGGGGGAACCAUCUGCUAUGGCUCUCUCAUUUUCCUCUGCAUUGGGCUCAUCUGUUUAGAUCUGAAAAGACCGAUGAGAGCGCGCUGGCAAACUAAUCCAACGCUAGGUCGCGUUUCACAGGCAUUUUGCAACCUGAUGGUUAAAAUAAUUCAUCUACUAAAUAUAUUAGCUUGUUUAAUUUUUUUUUCUAUUACUAGCGUGCGACAGCAGUCGCAACGCAAGAGUCAAGUUUGGAUCUGUACUACGUAAUGCUUUGUUCCAGCAGCUGGUAAUCCGGAGAAAGAAUGAUUGUGUUGUAAUUUUGGAUCGGGUAUUGCGUCGUAAGUCUUAAUGGAGUAGUGUUAUUGUUAAUUGCCAUGCAAUGUUGACCUGGUGAUAAUAUCUGGAAGAUGCUCCAAAUAGUUUUUGCAUAGGACCCCUUUACUU